GAUGAACGCUGACAGAAUGCUUAACACAUGCAAGUCAACUGUGGCGGACGGGUGAGUAACGCGUAAAGAACUUGCCUCACAGCUAGGGACAACAUUUGGAACCGAAUGCUAAUACCUGAUACUGUGAGAGAGCUUUGCGUCCCAUUAGCUAGUUGAAGAGGUAACGGCUCACCAAGGCGAUGAUGGGUAGCCGGCCUGAGAGGGUGAUCGGCCACAAGGGGAAUGAGACACAGCCCUUACUCCUACGGGAGGCAGCAGUGGGGAAGAUUGGACAAUGGACGAAAGUCUGAUAGAGCAAUUCUGUGGGCACGAUGAAGGUUACGGAAUGUAAAGUGCAUUAAGUUGGGAAGCGGUACCAACAGAAGAAGUGACGGCUAAAUACGUGCCAGCAGCCGCGGUAAUUC
rnacentral:rRNA from 1 species